rnacentral:rRNA from 1 species
CCUAACACAUGCAAGUCGAACGGGAAGCGGUGCAUAUUGCUUCGGUGAUAAUGUGCCGUGGAGAGUGGCGAACGGGUGCGUAACACGUAGGUAACCUGCCCUGAAAGGGGGGAUAACCACGGGAAACUGUGGCUAAUACCGUAUAAUCUCGCCGUGGCGGUGGUUACGGUGAGGAAAGCUGAGGCGAUUUGGGAGGGGCCUGCGGUCGAUUAGCUGGUUGGUGGGGUAAAGGCCCACCAAGGCGAUGAUCGAUAGCUGUUCUGAGAGGAAGACCAGCCACACGGGAACUGAGACACGGUUCCGACUCCUACGGGGGGCA